CCAAAUCCGCGUCGUGAGAGUGUCGUCGUAGCAUGAAGAGUCUUCAAAACUUGUCGAGUCGCCGAAGAAGAGAACGAAGAGAUGGCACAUCAGAGGUAGACACCGCAUCACUUUAAGAUACAAGAUAAGUAUCAAGAGAAGAUGGGUUGUCAAAAGAAGAUGGCACAUCAAGAGAAUAAAGCAUUGUGCAGAAAAUCAUAGUCCACGACAACC
rnacentral:lncRNA from 1 species